CCGUCACACAAAGACAGGGUGAAUGUAGCCGCCGCGGCGCUCACGUUGUUGCGGACCGAGCAGGUGAUCAGCCCCGACAGGCCCGGCUCCAGAGUGAUGUCACUAGCGUUACUGGGUCCAGAGAGGAGACGUGUGGCAUUCAGCGGGAGUCCGUCUAGACUCCAGCUGUAGUGGGGUCCGUCCCCCUCUGCAGCGCAGGACACCCUCUGCUGUCCCCGGGACAGACACUCCCGGGACAGGAGGGGAGAGGAGACCGGGGCUAAGGGAAACCGUCGAGGAGGUGAGGCGUACAGUUUGUAAGCUUCAAGUGGAGGAUUACUUUUCCCAGACUACCUAGUGUUAACUGUACUUGACAAAUUGUAUACCGAAAAGGUAAGUGAAGUAGUAACGUACGUAUCUAAAAUGUUUUAAAUCAAAUUUGGUCAGUAUUAAUAAUAAAUGGGCGGAGGGACUGUUUAAAGAUUGUAGAUAUGCUACAAUAUAGCAUGUAACGUUACCCAUAAUGUUAACAGAGCCUGAGAGCCAACAGUGAUUCUAAGAGCUACGAGGUCAGCGGUCACGGUCAGGGUCUAAAAUGUAGACCGCUCAAACCAGCGGUUUCCCUCUUAUCUGUAACCCUGGUUACCAAUAACUACUAAUAUAUUUAGUGCCGUCAAGCGAUUAAAAUAUUUAAUCGCAUUAAUGCAAUAGUUAACUCGCGAUUAAUCGCAAAUGUUUUUCUAUGCUAAAUAUCCCUUGAUUUCUUUGUCCCAUUAAUUUCUCAUUUUAAUGCUCUUGAUCAACAUGGAGAAGUGCAUCGGCUUGGCACAACAUUGGCACAAGCCUAUAGUGCAAUUAAACGAUGAAUAUACAAACAUACUGCCUUGAACAUAGCAGUCAGGCUAC
ensembl:lncRNA